UACGGAGGGUGCAAGCGUUAUCCGGAUUCACUGGGUUUAAAGGGCGCGUAGGCGGGUAGGUAAGUCAGUGGUGAAAUCUCGGAGCUUAACUCCGAAACUGCCAUUGAUACUAUCUAUCUUGAAUAUUGUGGAGGUUUGCGGAAUAUGUCAUGUAGCGGUGAAAUGCUUAGAUAUGACAUAGAACACCUAUUGCGAAGGCAGCAGGCUACACAUAUAUUGACGCUGAGGCACGAAAGCGUGGGGAUCAAACAGG
rnacentral:rRNA from 1 species